UAAGACAGAGGGCGCGAGCGUUGUUCGGAAUUACUGGGCGUAAAGCGCGCGCAGGCGGAUACAGCAAGUCCGAAGUGAAAUCUCGCCGCUCAACGGCGAGGCUGCUUCGGAGACUGCGUGUCUGGGGACCGGUAGAGGCUGGUAGAAUUGCAGGUGUAGCGGUGGAAUGCGUAGAGAUCUGCAAGAAUACCCGUGGCGAAGGCGGCCAGCUGGGCCGGAUCCGACGCUGAGGCGCGAAAGCGUGGGGAGCAAACAGGAUUAGAUACCCUGGUAGUCCACGCCGUAAACGAUGGGCACUAGGUGCCGGGGGGAGCGACCCCUUCGGUGCCGCAGCUAACGCGAUAAGUGCCCCGCCUGGGGAGUACGGCCGCAAGGCUG
rnacentral:rRNA from 1 species